GACGAACGCUGGCGGCGUGCUUAACACAUGCAAGUCGAACGGAAAGGCCCUGCUUUUGUGUGGUUCUCGAGUGGCGAACGGGUGAGUAACACGUGAGUAACCUGCCCUUGACUUUGGGAUAACUUCAGGAAACUGGGGCUAAUACCGGAUAGGAGCUCCUGCUGCAUGGUGGGGGUUGGAAAGUUUCGGCGGUUGGGGAUGGACUCGCGGCUUAUCAGCUUGUUGGUGGGGUAGUGGCUUACCAAGGCUUUGACGGGUAGCCGGCCUGAGAGGGUGACCGGCCACAUUGGGACUGAGAUACGGACCAGACUCCUACGGGAGGCAGCAGUGGGGAAUAUUGCACAAUGGGCGGAAGCCUGAUGCAGCAACGCCGCGUGCGGGAUGACGGCCUUCGGGUUGUAAACCGCUUUCGCCUGUGACGAAGCGUGAGUGACGGUAAUGGGUAAAGAAGCACCGGCUAACUACGUG
rnacentral:rRNA from 1 species